rnacentral:rRNA from 1 species
AUUGAACGCUGGCGGCCGGCCUAACACAUGCAAGUCGAACGAGUGGCGGACGGGUGAGUAAUGUCUGGGAAACUGCCCGAUGGAGGGGGAUAACUACUGGAAACGGAGCUUAAUCCCGACAACAACCGGAUGGGCCCAGAUGGGAGUAGCUAGUAGGUGGGGUAACGGCUAACCUAGGCGACGAUCCCUAGCUGGUCUGAGAGGAUGACCUGCCACACUGGAACUGAGACACGGUCCAGACUCCUACGGGAGGCAGCAGGGGGGAAUAUUGCACAAUGGGCGCAAGCCUGAUGCAGCCAUGCCGCGUGUAUGAAGAAGGCCUUCGGGUUGUAAAGUACUUUCAGCGAGGAGGCGUUACUCGCAGAAGAAGCACCGGCUAACUCCGUGCCAGCAGCCGCGGUAAUAC